rnacentral:tRNA from 1 species
GGCUUAUUAGUUUAUGGAAGAAUGCUAAUUUGUGGUGUUAGAUGUGGGCUCUUCUAAGUUU